UACGUAGGGUGCAAGCGUUAUCCGGAUUCACUGGGUUUAAAGGGUGCGUAGGCGGCUAUAUAAGUCAGUGGUGAAAGCUUCCCGCUUAACGGGAAAACUGCCAUUGAAACUGCAUAGCUUGAAUAUGGUUGAAGUGGAUGGAAUAUAUCAUGUAGCGGUGAAAUGCUUAGAUAUGAUGUAGAACACCGAUUGCGAAGGCAGUUCACUAAGCCAUCAUUGACGCUGAGGCACGAAAGCGUGGGUAGCGAACAGG
rnacentral:rRNA from 1 species